rnacentral:rRNA from 1 species
UACGUAGGGGGCAAGCGUUGUCCGGAUUUAUUGGGCGUAAAGAGCGUGUAGGCGGCUGGGUAGGUCCGUUGUGAAAACUCGAGGCUCAACCUCGAGACGCCGAUGGAAACCCUCCAGCUAGAGUCCGGAAGAGGAGAGUGGAAUUCCUGGCGUAGCGGUGAAAUGCGCAGAUAUCAGGAAGAACACCAAUGGCGAAAGCAGCUUUCUGGGACGGUACUGACGCUGGAGACGCGAAAGCGUGGGGAGCGAACAGG